GACGAACGCUGGCGGCGUGCUUAACACAUGCAAGUCGAACGAUGAACCGGUUUCGGCCGGGGAUUAGUGGCGAACGGGUGAGUAACACGUGGGCAAUCUGCCCUGCACUCGGAGAUAAGCCCGGGAAACUGGGUCUAAUACCGGAUACGACACUCCGAGGCAUCUUGGGGUGUGGAAAGUUCCGGCGGUGCAGGAUGAGCCCGCGGCCUAUCAGCUUGUUGGUGGGGUAAUGGCCUACCAAGGCGACGACGGGUAGCCGGCCUGAGAGGGUGACCGGCCACACUGGGACUGAGACACGGCCCAGACUCCUACGGGAGGCAGCAGUGGGGAAUAUUGCACAAUGGGCGAAAGCCUGAUGCAGCGACGCCGCGUGAGGGAUGACGGCCUUCGGGUUGUAAACCUCUUUCAGCAGGGAAGAAGCGAAAGUGACGGUACCUGCAGAAGAAGCACCGGCUAACUACGUG
rnacentral:rRNA from 1 species